CCUUUGACGUUAGCGGCGGACGGGUGAGUAACACUGGGUAACCUACCUAUAAGACUGGGAUAACUUCGGGAAACCGGAGCUAAUACCGGAUAAUAUUUCGAACCGCAUGGUUCGAUAGUGAAAGAUGGUUUUGCUAUCACUUAUAGAUGGACCCGCGCCGUAUUAGCUAGUUGGUAAGGUAACGGCUUACCAAGGCGACGAUACGUAGCCGACCUGAGAGGGUGAUCGGCCACACUGGAACUGAGACACGGUCCAGACUCCUACGGGAGGCAGCAGGC
rnacentral:rRNA from 1 species